GUCCUUUUGAUUUUUAUAUAAGGUCUGACCUGCCCUAUGAAUAUUUAAAUGGCCGCGGUAUACUAACCGUGCAAAGGUAGCAUAGUCAUUUGUCUCUUAAUUGGAGGCUUGAAUGAAGGGUUGGACGAGAUAUAAGCUUUCUUUAUUAUAUUUUAUUGAAUUUGACUUUUGAGUUAAAAGGCUUAAAUUUUUUUAUAGGACGAGAAGACCCUAUAGAAUUUUAUAUAUUUGUGUAAUUGAUUUAUUUAUUUAUUAUUUAAUUUCUUGUUUAAAUAUAUUUUGUUGGGGCGAUGGGAAGAUUUUAAUAACUCUUUUUUGUUUUAAUCAUUGAUUUAUGUUUUAUUCUGAUCCUUUUUUAGAGAUUAUAAGAUUAAAUUACCUUAGGGAUAACAGCGUAAUUCUUUUGGAGAGUUCUUAUCGAUAAAAGAGUUUGCGA
rnacentral:rRNA from 1 species